UAAAAUUCUUAAUAGCGAUGUGAUGGAGGGCCAUUUUUGAUCUUUCACAGCAGCAGCACUAUGUGGUGUGACAGUAAAUGUGAUUCCGUGCCUAGAUUUUGUUAAGAAGGAAGCCAUCCGCAGACUCAGGGGCAGACAGGCAAGCAUCAAAACAGAUGAUGAUGCACCCAUCCUAACACGCGCUGGCCUGCCGUCCAGUGCGGCCCAUCUUGCCGCCUAGAAAGAACUGUGUGCUGACUGACACUUGUUGACUUGAAGGAGCGGCUGGGAGUGAUUUGCUAAGUACUCCAGAGGCUGGUUCUACCCACUCUACCGCAGGAAGGAAUGAAUCCGAGAGAUGACCAUUCCCCCUGCUGAUUUUCCAAAUGUAGUAAAGCUGGGUCUGCUAGUUCCACUCUAAAGAAAAUAAAGAUAAUAAUCUGAUUUAGACAUUGAAGAACAUCGGUAUGAAUGACAACAGUAGUAGCCCAUUUAGCCUCAUGGCGCAGGCACCAAGGACUAACCACCUCCUGGAAAAUCAAGGGACCUGCUUCCCAGGCACAACCAUUGGAAUGUCUGGAUCCCCGUGCAACUUUCUGUGUGCUGACAACCACCCCACCCCAACCUGUGUCUCCUUCAAGUCCACCACAUGAGUCAUUUGAGCAAGUUGUGGUGACUGAAGUCCCAAAGCUCUCCAACUUUGCACCACACACAGAAAAGGAGAAGAGACUUCGCUUCACAUGGGUGGUGUAGUCAUCUUUCAAUCUUAUGGGUUGGAGAGCAUCCCCAGACUGCUAUUCUGAGCCACCUCGCCCAGUCGAGAAGCCUGCCAUCUCUCGGAUGGCUUAUGAGCUGGAUGCUUUUUCACCUGCAUGUCUCUGGACUUUUUUCAGCGUUAGGUCUCUCCUAAGCAGGAAAAUUCCAAUUUUGCCAACCUGUGUUUUGGUGAUAUGGACUACCAUCUACCUGUGUGGAGCUGAGAUCAUAGAACUCCUAUGACUGGCGAUACAAAUUGGAUUGGAACCAAGGUCAUAAGGUAACUAGCCAGUGCUUUAUCCUCUCAGCCAAGCCCUUGAUAAGGGCCAUUCUUUGAUGUUGAGAAUGAUAGUUGGCUUUUUCAGAACUUAUAUCCAAAACAGUAAUACAUAAUGCAUUUGCUUUCAUCGUACAGCUGCUGAUACAUGGUUGAAGGUUAAUUUAAAGAUUACUUAAUGAGAAGAGUUACUUUAAAUCAAUCAAAUGCUUUAGAAAGCAAAAAUGAUCCUCACUAACAAAAAAUACAAGUUGCAAGCAAAGAAGCCUACGGUUUUCAACUUCUUCCCAAUCAUUCAUUACAGGUCUUCUUUUAAUACAAGCCAGCGGCUGGCUGGUUGAAUCCCUCUCGCUAAUGGUGCCUCUUUCUCCAUGGCUGCAUCAUGGUAAAAUUAUUUACAGUAGACAGCGCCCCUCCUGCGAGCUGUAAAGACUAUGUAUGACUGCUGUAUGGAAUGAUCGUAUCUACUAUAUUGGUAAUAAGGGAUUCCACCUGGCACCUAACUGCAACAAAAAAAGCCGUUCAUUUUUCCCCACAUCCUUUGGUUCUGAAGAUCGUGUCUCUUCUGUGCUUACAUGAGCAGCAUAAACAUGGGACACACACACAUUUGCUUCUCACUGGUUUGUGUUAGAUGCUCUACUAGGGCAAAUGCUGCCGACAAUAUCCACGACUUCUGCGGUUUUCCCUUAAUAAAAUCGCUA